AGAUAUGGAGGGACAGAAACUCUGACUUCCGAGGAACCCACACGCAGGGGCGGAUGGACGCGAUAUUGGUCUCCUAACAGGUAUUUCUGCGUUUAGGUUUGGUGUGAAUGAACGCGAAUGUUCGUCUUCUUCUGUGAAACGUGAAGAGAGGAUGUGUCAUAUACAAGCAAACUGUCCAGCAGCACCAUCAUGCUCCCUCGAAGUAUGAAAACAUCUGGAGUAGAGCUGCCGGGAUGGGACAGAGAGAGGUGCCCCUGUUGGAUAUAGACCCCUACAGUCCUGGAGGUCAACGGCCCCACACAGGUAAGAGGACAAUGACAUCAUGAUUUACUCCUGAUUUCAAAAACUUUAUGUCUUUGAAAGUAAUUAAUCUUUGUAUUCAGCAUCAAAUUAAUCAUUAGUGACAGUAAAUACAUUUAUAAUGUUGCAUAAUAUCUGUUUUCUCUAUUCUGUUCAUCAAAAAAUCCUGAAAAAAGUAUCACGGUUUCCAAAAUAAUAUGCAGCAGCACAACUGUUUUCAGCAUUGAUACUAAUCAGAAAUGUUUCUUGAGGAUCAAAUCAGCAUAUUAGAAUGAUUUCUGAUGAAUCAUAUGACACUGAAGACUUGAGGAAUGAUGCUGAAAAUUCAGCUUUGCAUCACAAGAAUUAAUUACAUUAUUUAAAUAUAUAUAAAUAGAAAACUUAAAUUUUAACGUUUUACACUAUUACUGUUUUUACUGUAAGUUUAAUAAAAUAUAUGCAGCCUUGAUGAGCAGAAGAGACUUCUUUCACUUUCUUUCUUUCAAACAUUAAAAAAUCUUACUGACCGUAAAGUGUUCAGUGUAUUUUCCCACUUUUUCUAACCAUAUAAAAUUAGUCGUUCUUAAAAUCAGAUCAGUAUUAGAUAAAAAUCCACAAGAUGUCAUAAUUCAAUAAAUGUAGGAGCAAAAUAUAAACAAACCAAACAAUAAAAUAAAAUAAAAAAUAAAUAAAAUAAAUAAAAAUAAGGGUACAUUAUUUAUAAUUAUUAUAGUUAUUUAUUAGGGUUUCCAAAUGGGUCUCUGAAAGGAUCUAAGCCCACUGUCUUUAUGGGAGGUGCACUCUAGUAAAGGUACAAAAGAAAAAAAGAAACAUAAAUAUAAAAGAAAAAUUAAGAAGAAGAAAAAGAACAAACAUAAUCAUUCUUGAGGCUUUUAGAAAACUCAAAAUAAUGUUAUUGUUUGAUAAAAUG
rnacentral:lncRNA from 1 species